UACGUAGGUGGCAAGCGUUGUCCGGAUUUACUGGGUGUAAAGGGCGUGUAGCCGGGCUGACAAGUCAGAUGUGAAAUCCGGGGGCUCAACCCCCGAACUGCAUUUGAAACUGUUGGUCUUGAGUAUCGGAGAGGCAGGCGGAAUUCCUAGUGUAGCGGUGAAAUGCGUAGAUAUUAGGAAGAACACCAGUGGCGAAGGCGGCUUUCUGGACUGAAACUGACGCUGAGGCUCGAAAGCGUGGGGAGCGAACAGG
rnacentral:rRNA from 1 species